CUCCAAAUUAGCGAACUUCAACAAUCUAAACUCCAAAAUCGAUUACUACAAUAACUGCUAUUACUGCAACAAGGAAUACAAAAUAAACAUCCAAAAACUCAAAUUUACGGCUAAAAGAGAAAAAAAGUACGAGAAACAAAUCACUAAUCCAUUACAUCACAGAUUUACCAUUAAUUUCAAAACAAAUAAUGGAAUUCGUGAGCGGUUUUACUUACAGAGUGAUCGAGGCAAGAUCGGACGAAGCCGCAGAGGGAGGAGAGGAGAAGGAACGAAAGGACGUAAAUGACCCUGCGACUUUUUUCAAUCUCACUAUUCGCAGGCAGUGUUUGUGCUCCCGUGUGGCUGAGCUUUAACGUAGAGACCCAACGGUUAAUUUGUAGGAG
rnacentral:lncRNA from 1 species